rnacentral:rRNA from 1 species
AAACUGAAGAGUUUGAUCAUGGCUCAGAUUGAACGCUGGCGGUAUGCUUAACACAUGCAAGUCGAACGGUAGCAGGCCUUCGGGCGCUGACGAGUGGCGGACGGGUGAGUAAUGCAUAGGAAUCUGCCUCGUAGUGGGGGACAACUUAGGGAAACUUAAGCUAAUACCGCAUACGCCCUUCGGGGGAAAGCGGGGGCUCGCAAGACCUCGCGCUAUGAGAUGAGCCUAUGUUGGAUUAGCUAGUUGGUAGGGUAAAGGCCUACCAAGGCUGCGAUCCAUAGCUGGUCUGAGAGGAUGAUCAGCCACACUGGGACUGAGACACGGCCCAGACUCCUACGGGAGGCAGCAGUGGGGAAUAUUGGACAAUGGGCGCAAGCCUGAUCCAGCAAUACCGCGUGUGUGAAGAAGGCCUGAGGGUUGUAAAGCACUUUCAAUAGGGAGGAAAAAAGUAGGUUUAAUACAUCUGCUCUUGACAUUACCUAUAGAAGAAGCACCGGCUAACUCCGUGCCAGCAGCCGCGGUAAUACGGAGGGUGCGAGCGUUAAUCGGAAUUACUGGGCGUAAAGCGUGCGUAGGCGGCCUGUUAAGUCAGAUGUGAAAGCCCUGGGCUCAACCUGGGAACGGCAUUUGAAACUGGCAAGCUAGAGUUAGGUAGAGGGGAGUGGAAUUUCAGGUGUAGCGGUGAAAUGCGUAGAUAUCUGAAGGAACACCAGUGGCGAAGGCGGCUCCCUGGACCCAAACUGACGCUGAGGUACGAAAGCGUGGGUAGCAAACAGGAUUAGAUACCCUGGUAGUCCACGCUGUAAACGAUGUCGACUAGCCGUUGGGCCCUUCUAGGGUUUAGUGGCGCAGCUAACGCAUUAAGUCGACCGCCUGGGGAGUACGGCCGCAAGGUUAAAACUCAAAUGAAUUGACGGGGGCCCGCACAAGCGGUGGAGCAUGUGGUUUAAUUCGAUGCAACGCGAAGAACCUUACCUACCCUUGACAUCCUCAGAAUUUGGCAGAGAUGCCUUAGUGCCUUCGGGAACUGAGAGACAGGUGCUGCAUGGCUGUCGUCAGCUCGUGUUGUGAAAUGUUGGGUUAAGUCCCGUAACGAGCGCAACCCUCAUCCUUAGUUGCCAGCGGGUUAAGCCGGGAACUCUAGGGAGACUGCCGGUGAUAAACCGGAGGAAGGUGGGGACGACGUCAAGUCAUCAUGGCCCUUAUGGGUAGGGCUACACACGUGCUACAAUGGCCGGUACAGAGGGCUGCGAACUUGCAAAAGUAAGCUAAUCCCAUCAAAGUCGGUCUCAGUCCGGAUUGAGGUCUGCAACUCGACCUCAUGAAGUCGGAAUCGCUAGUAAUCGCGGAUCAGAAUGCCGCGGUGAAUACGUUCCCGGGCCUUGUACACACCGCCCGUCACACCAUGGGAGUGGGUUGCAAAAGAAGUAGGUAGUCUAACCGCAAGGAGGGCGCUUACCACUUUGUGAUUCAUGACUGGGGUGAAGUCGUAACAAGGUAGCCCUAGGGGAACCUGGGGCUGGAUCACCUCCUUA